rnacentral:rRNA from 1 species
AGAAUGACUCUCGGCAAUGGAUAUCUCGGCUCUUGCAUCGAUGAAGAACGUAGCGAAAUGCGAUACUUGGUGUGAAUUGCAGAAUCCCGUGAACCAUCGAGUCUUUGAACGCAAGUUGCGCCCGAAGCCACUAGGCCGAGGGCAUGCCUGCCUGGGUGUCACAC